UGAGGGGGCGCUGCGGGAGAGCGCGGUGGGCCCGGGGCGUGAGGGGAGCGUGGUGCGGGAUGUCACGGAGAUGUACGGGGGUAGUACAUGGCGUGAAGAGCGGGUCAGGCUGUGCGGGAGCGGUGCGGGAUGUCACGGAGAUGUACGGGGGUAGUACAUGGCGUGCAGAGCGGGUCAGGCGGUGCGGGGUGUGGGGGGAGUCGCGGGAUGUCACGGGGGUGUAGGGGGUACUACAUGGCGUGCGGAGCGGUGCGGGGUGUGCAGAGCGGGUCGGGCUGUACGGGGUGUGCGGGAUAUCACAGGGGUAUACGGGGGUAGUACAUGGCCUGCGGGAUAUCACAGGGGUGUACGAGGGUAGUACAUGGCGUGCGGAGCGGCUCAGAAUGUGCGGGGCCGGUGCAGGAUGUGCGGGAUGUCACAGGGAUAACGGGGGUAGUACAUGGCGUGCGGAGCGGGGCCGGUGCAGGGUGUGCGGGCUGUCGCAGAGUGUACGGGGUAGUACAUGGCGUGUGGAGCGGUUCAGGCAAUGCGGGGGUGGCACAGGGCAGUGCGGGGGCAGGGCACAGCCGUCGCUGGCGGAGGUUGGUGCCGGUGCGGGGGAACGGGGCACUGCCGAGCCCUGUGUUAGCGCCGGCUCCGUUCCGGGGCAGCACCGGCGCCCUGCGCACCGCGCUGGAACGGCCUUUAGAGCCCGGCCCAUCCCUCCCCUCUGCUCUGGAACUGGCAGCGGUGACACCUGGCAGUCCCUCCUCUCACCUCCCGUGCGUGUGACAGCACCGACCUCUCUUCCUGAGUGCAGCCCAUGAGUCCCUGGGCUGGAGAAAGCCGAAAUUUGGCCAUCCUGCAUCUUCGGAGUACAAACAUACCCAGUCCAGACUCAGAAUGAGCUGCAGCAACUGGAUAAAUCUACUGGGACCAUGAAGAAUUCAAGUGGUUAAUUUGGGUUAAAAGUCUCUCUGCAGGUGGAAUGCCUCCUGUCCCUCAAGUGGCUCAGCAGAUCAGCCAGGAGGAAAACCAACAGCAAAAUGGACCAAAUUUGUCAAAUCUGCUUAAUUCCUUACACAGCAGGAACCCAGCUCUGCCCCAGCAGGUACAACCAGCAGGAUGGGAUAAGAACCAUGUGCUUGUGCUCCCAGCUCCAGUUCCUCACAACAACAGGAAAAGGAAAUUCUGCAGCAGACUGCAGCACUGAGGAAAGAAAGUUUAUGAUCUCUGAAACCUCUGCUCAAAUUCCAUGAGGCCCCACAGCACAAAUCACACCAUGAUUUAUCUUUUGGAGGAAAUGAGCAGUGGAUGGCAACAGAUUUUUUUCAAGAAAGAAGACAAAAGAUGAUAACAACCAAGAGAGUAAUGUGAAUAUGAUAUUUUAAAUAAAUAAUAGGCAGCAUUUACAUGGUUAGGAUGUGAUCACUGGGGAUCUGGGAUAGAUAGUUUGGGGUUGCCUCUCCACUUUUGUAAAUUUUAAACAGUACUCCUAAAGGGCUUGUAAUUAUUUUCUUUCUUUAGAAAUGUGCUCUUUAGAUAGAAUUGAGUAAAAACUUAAAAUAAUUUUAUGGUUUUAUUUUAGGGUUAAUGUGUCAAGGGGGUCUGGAAUGCCAGUUCUAUGAAGAUAAAUAUUUUAAUUACAAGCAGUGAAUGAACUGCAGAGCUUGUCAUUGGAGGGUGCUGCCCUGUUUGUGACUCCUGGUAACAUGAGCACAGUGCUCUAUUUCCAUGGUGUGGGCUCUUGGAACCUUUUAAAGUAACAGCAGCUGCUCUGCAGUGUCACAUGACACGUGGCUCUUCAGUUCCACUUUAAUUCUGCCAUCAGCUGGGAGCUUUUUCAUCAUUCUCACAUACUGUGCUAUAUUACUAUUAUUUUCUUAAACUGCAGCUGAAGAGUAAUAAAAUAUUUCUUUAUUUUGUGAGGUUUUUUCUUUUACUGUAAUUUAAGCACACAGACUGGUCUCUAUUUGAUGUGAUUGGGAUGGAAAACCAAAUCACUUGCUAUGAAGCACAAAUGCUGCCAAAACUGAAGGUAACUGGAAAGUUUAUGGAAGAGAUCUCCUGCUCCCCUUCAUCACCCAGAAUUGAGCCAGUGAAGCUCCAGCCAAACAGAGACCUGUGUUUGUUCCCAGCUGUAGCUGUUGCUCCUCCCUGUUUGUAUGGGGCAAAUCCUUCUUACCCAUGGACCCAUGGAAUGCAACCCCUGCAGUUCAGUCUGGAGGAGCAGAGAUGGUGCAGGUACUGAUGAUUCAGGAAUUUAUAAAAAGCUUCAACCAAGACAAGUGAUCCUUCUGUGCUGUCCUGUCUUCCCCCACUCCCUGCACAGGUGUCAGUCACACAGAUGUGAUUCCUCUUGUCUUCUGUGACACUGAUGGACACAGAGAUGGGAUGAUGUGACAGAAGUGCAAGAGGCAGAGAUACCCACACAUACAGGUUUGCAGGUAAUUCUAUUGAAGAGAGGCUGUUGAAAGAGUAUUAAACAUGAGUCAACAACUGGCUGCUCAGGGAGGGGAUUGUUCAACAGACUUUUUAUCCCAGGCUUGAUUGGGAACCAGUGAUGUGUGUUCACAGUUAAAUUGAGUAGAAAUCCUGAACUGUCAGCUCAUAUAGAAAAUCAGAAGGUCUUGGAUCCUAUCAGUGGUGUGGUUAACUCUUGCAACAAUGUUUAUCACUCCCCAAAGCAACACCAAAAUUGUUACAUAAAAACCAUUGCAGGUCCAGAGGGAAAGGAGAGUUUAAGUUGAAACUCGCAUUGUGAGGACUUGGGGAGUUUUGGGGUCCUUUUUGUUGAUUUUUUUUUUCCUUUUAAUUCCUUAUUGCUGUUAGAGUACUAUGGGAGUUUUGACUAAGCAAAAACAUAACUAGAUUUUAGAAUUUUGUAUAGCUUGGUAUACAAACAAAUGCUAGUAAAUACCUUUUCCUAACAGUAUGACUAAUAUAGGUUAUAUUUAUUUCAUUUCCAUACACUUAGGAAUAUGAAUUUCCCCAAUGUUAUGAUAAUAUGACCUUGGAUGUAUCAUUUUGCACUACCAGUAUGUUAAAAAUAAGGGAGAGGAGACGUUUAUUUUAAGUAGUAGGAUAUGAAUUGUCUUCACUCAAGACUAUUGAUAACUAUGAAUUUUGAGAGUGGGCACUUUUGAUUAGGUGUUUUUGAUACCUAAGCCUUCACUUUGUAUUUAUUCCAGAAUGUAGAUGGUCAGCCUCUUUGUGUUAGACAAGCCUGUGCAAACCACCAGAAUUCUGAGUGUAUUCAAAUCUGUAUAAAUCGCUUUGAGUUGAUGACAAUGACUACUAGAAAAAGAAGUUCCUCAACUAGAUUUCUCUAAGUUUACUUUUACUGUCAAUAUUUUCCUCAGAUUUAAUAGUAAAUCACUGGUGGCCUGAUUGGUGAAUUUGUUUUUUCUCUUAAACACGAAUGUAUUUCACGGGGAUCUUUUCUUAUCAAAGGCUCUGUGAUAAUCUUUAGCCUUAAGGUAAAACAGUGUUUACUAUCCAAGAAUCAAAUCUGUGUUUGUGCUGAUGUAAAGAAAAGCCUGAAGUGCGGCUCCAUCUGAUGUACCCAAGUCCUUCCUCAUGGCCGGGUGGACCCUCCUGAGCAUCAAUGAGUGCGCGUUGUGUCACCUGGCACCACCGAGCAGAGCCGGCCGUGCUCCGAGUCUCUGCAGACCCUGACAGACGGGGAUGGAUGGGGUUCCCUGUCAGCUCGAGGCUGAACAGCUCCGGCUCCCUCAGCCUUUUCCCUUCGGAGAUGCUCCAGCCGCUCGAUCUCCGUUGUUCCCCGGCCGGCCCCGCUCCGCCCGCUCCCAGCCUCUCCUGCCCUGGGGACUCAAGACCCGCCAGCUGCAAGUGCGGCUUUUCACACCGUGUAUUGAAGAGUAGCGACAGCCCCGCUCCGUGCGCGGAUAGAGACUGCCCUUUGCUCGGUGCUACAAUAAAUAUCAUUUAUCCGCGCUGUCGCCGAGCCCGUUCCUAUCGCGACAG